rnacentral:pre_miRNA from 1 species
CAGGUACUCCCUCCGUUCGGAAUUACUUGUCUCGAAAAUGGAUGUAUCUAGAACUAAAAUACGUCUAAAUACAUCCAUUUCUGCGACAAGUAAUUCCGAACGGAGGGAGUACAAU